GGGAUGAACGCUAGCGGCAGGCUUAACACAUGCAAGUCGAGGGGCAUCGGGAGUAGCAAUACUGCCGGCGACCGGCGCAAGGGUGCGUAACGCGUGAGCAACAUGCCCGUAUCAGGGGGAUAAUCCAUGGAAACGUGGUCUAAUACCCCAUAGUAAUUAUGUAAGGCAUCUUAUAUAAUUUAAAGCUUUGGUGGAUACGGAUUGGCUCGCGUGACAUUAGCUAGAUGGUAAGGUAACGGCUUACCAUGGCUACGAUGUCUAGGGGUUCUGAGAGGAAGGUCCCCCCACACUGGAACUGAGACACGGUCCAGACUCCUACGGGAGGCAGCAGUGAGGAAUAUUGGACAAUGGAUGGAAAUCUGAUCCAGCCAUGCCGCGUGCAAGGAAGACGGCCCUAUGGGUUGUAAACUGCUUUUGUAUGGGAGCAAUAAGGGCUACGCGUAGUCCGAUGAGAGUACCAUACGAAUAAGCACCGGCUAACUCCGUGCCAGCCGCAGC
rnacentral:rRNA from 1 species